UGCUGGUCCCGUUCUCCAGUUGAGGGAGUGUGUUAAAGUCAGAAGUCCAGCUGAAGUGAAGGUUGUCUCCAUCAGCAGAACAGGUCACUUUCAUGACUCCAGAGGACAAGCAGCUAGAACAAUCCUCUCUCUGUACUUGAUGGAGAUCUUGGACCUGAGUGAUGAACGACUACAAAAGCAACAUGAAGCUUCUUUUACAGAACUAAUAAUACUUUACUGAGAAACAGGAAGUUCCAUACACCAUCUACACCCCUUGAUUUAGAAGUGGUAAAGCAACGCUGUGGUUUGUUCGUCUUGUCUGGGUAAAUAUUUUUCACAUUCUCACAACAGCCUGGUCCUUUUUAGAUCUCAUCAUUGUCGUGUUUCCAUUUCCCCCAAGAUCACAUACACCUGUGUUGGAUUAUCUCUUUAGUGCCACAUCAUUUAAGUUCCUGUUUUCUCUUUGUGUCUUGGUCUUGCUACUGUUGAUGCUACAGUGUGUCUCAUCCUUGUCCUCAUGUGGGCCUGGAUGAGGCAGUUUGUAGUUGGGAAGAACACAGAAGCAUUAACUCCUGGCUCUAAGGGAUCUAAGUUCAUAUGACGGCCAAUGCGUAAGUAAUUCAUCCCGAGGUGUUUAUCUUCCUCGGGGAAGACAAACCUUUUCUUCCUCGGGGAAGACAAACCUGGAGACAACCUUUACUUCAGCUGGACUUCUGCGUUAAACACUCAGUUGGAGGGCAACAACAAAACUCUCGUACUGGAUAAAAUGCAUAUUGAAAAAGUCACCUGUCAUGUCGAAUAUCACGUCAGUCAUGCCUGACGUCAGUCACUGAACUGCCAAAAUGUACCAGUGAGUCUGUCUUUUUUAAAAAAACAUUAGAAAAUAUUUAUUCUGUUUUUAUACUUCUGUAAAGCUGCUUUGAGACAAUGUCCAUCGUUGAAGUGCUUAUACACAUACAGUAAAUUGAAUUGAAAAUAAUGAAUUAAGCAACAGUUACAGUAAUUAACAGUCAUCAGCAUUAAUGUCACUACUCAUACCCUGGUAAAUACAAAGGCAAAACUGUGUGCUCAAAAGCUUUCAUGUUUUAAACUUUAAACGGUUUUAUUCCUGAGAAAUAUUAUAUCCUGGGUUAGCUGAUGACAUCGCUAACACUGCUAUCCAGUGGCUUUUACCUAGUGACAACAUCCCCUUUAUAUUUUAAGCCCUCUGUAAUGCUGUGAUUCUACAGU